UCUCUGUAAGGGAGGAGGGAAAGUUACGGAGAAGGGGCUGUGUUCCUUUUCCUCUCCUGCUUGCGUCUCAUUUAGGGGAAACGUUUCUACUAAAUUUAGUGGAAAAAUUUCCCGCUAAAUAUAGUGGGGAAAAUUUUCUGCUAGAUUUAGCGGGGAAAUGUUUCUGCGAAAUUUAGCGGGGAAAGAUUUCCGCUAAAUUUAGCAGAAACGUUUCCCCUAAAUGAGAGGCGAGCAGGAGAGGAAAAGGAACACAGCCCCUU
rnacentral:SRP_RNA from 1 species